rnacentral:rRNA from 1 species
GGCAAAGGCAGGUCAGUAUGCCCCGAAACCCCUGGGCUACACGCGGGCUGCAAUGGUAUGAACAAUGGGCUGUGAGUCCGAAAGGAGAAACCAUAUCCCGAAAUCAUAUCUCAGUUGGAAUUGUCGGCUGUAACCCGCCGACAUGAACGCGGAAUCCCUAGUAAUCGUGUGUCAUCAACGCACGGUGAAUACGUCUCUGCUCCUUGCACACACCGCCCGUCGCUCCAUCCGAGUGUGCUAAAAAUGAGGUUUGGUCAAUUUGGUCAUAUCGAGUUUCUAGUAUGCGAGGAGAGAGAAGUCGUAACAAGGUAACCAUACGAGGCGCA